rnacentral:rRNA from 1 species
UGGGGAAUAUUGCACAAUGGGCGCAAGCCUGAUGCAGCCAUGCCGCGUGUGUGAAGAAGGCCUUCGGGUUGUAAAGCACUUUCAGCGGGGAGGAAGGCGAUAAGGUUAAUAACCUUGUCGAUUGACGUUACCCGCAGAAGAAGCACCGGCUAACUUCGUGCCAGCAGCCGCGGUAAUACGGAGGGUGCAAGCGUUAAUCGGAAUUACUGGGCGUAAAGCGCACGCAGGCGGUCUGUCAAGUCGGAUGUGAAAUCCCCGGGCUAAACCUGGGAGCGGCAUUCGAAACUGGCAGGCUAGAGUCUUGUAGAGAGGGGUAGAAUUCCAGGUGUAGCGGUGGGAUGCGUAGGGAACAGGAGGAAUACCGGUGGCGAAGGCGGCCCCCUGGACAAAAACUGACGCUCAGGUGCGAAAGCGUGGGGAGCAAACGGG